UUCCCCUCUUCAACUAAAAAUUCCUAAUCUCAAAAAUCCCUAAUCUUUUCAACCAAAAACCCUAUCAAAAAUCCCCAUCUCUUCUUAUGACUCUCUUUCUCUCUCUCUCUCGAUCUCUCUCGACUGUGAGCAGCGGCAGACGACGGCGUCGAACGACGACAGCGAGCAGCAUGCGACGGCGGCAAGCGAGCGACGACGGUGCGGCGUGUCUCUCUCAUCAAUUCCGAUUUCAACUCAUUGCUACUGAUUCUCUUUUUUUUUUGGUGCGCUUAAUAGGUCACUGUGUGGAGGGUUCAUUAUUCUUAGUCUAUGAAUUCAAUGAGAAUGGCAACUUAAGUCAACAUAUGCGUGGUUCAGGUUGUAGGAUUUGGGCUGGCAAAACUGACUGAAGUUGGGAGUGCUUCAUUGUAUACCCGUUUUGUGGGUACUUUUGGAUACAUGCCUCCAGAGUGAGAUUAGUUCAUUUUGUUUCUUCCUCAUUUUUCACUAUAAGUUAAUACUAUCAUUUAAAUUAUGUUAUAUAUAUAUACAUUCAUAGGAAGAAUUAUAGUGAACCUCUCGUGCUUGUAUAUCAUCAAACUUGCCCUUGCUCAUGGUUCAAAAGGAAACUCUGCUAGUAUAAAUUUUUGUGACGAUAAUGGCGAUGGUGAUGGUGCUACAUAAUCCAAAGAAUUGCCUCAAGGCAAGUUGUGGUUGUCUGUGAGAAUGAGAUAAAAAAUUAAAAAAAUAAAAUAAAAGUGAUACACCUUCUUUAGAAGUGGAUUUUUCUUUGGUUUAUUAAUAUUGGAUAGUUACCUGAAAGAAAGUACUAUUGACAUAGGGUAGUUAUAAUGUGUCAGGGAUCAUUUGUAAAUAUGGAAAUCAUUUAGGAUGACCACACCACAUAGUUGAUUGUCUUUUAAUGUUAGUAAUUGGCACCCAAUUGAUUGUCUUUUUAUUGCUCCUUUUUUUUUUAAUGAAACCUGUGAUUGAGAGUUCAUAUUCUAGGGAAGAAUUUGUGGUUGUGGAUCUGAUUAGUCAUGGUGGUAACUAAUGGUUGAGGAAACCGGACAGUUGCUUUGAAAGUGCAAAAACAAAGCUAAUAUUAAUGAACUUUUAAGUUUGUUGUUGAGUUGGGUGAAUAGUUUGCUAGUAAGAGAUUGACUUGGUUAAAAACUUGAAAAUUUUGAGGCAACAAUUACACUUAGUAAUUUGAUAACAGAACUUGUGGCUUGGAAUUCUUUUAACCCUUGUAUACCUUUGCUAUCUUGUUGACCUUUGCUUUGCAAUGUAAAAUGAUUAUUGGAACAAAGAAAAAGAAAGCUAAUAGCAAAGUUAUUUUUUCCCCUGCAUACGAAGAAUGGAUUAUAUUUCCCAGUCUCAUGAAACUAACUGUUUUAUUUUCUAGUUCCAUAGUUCAUAACUUAUCAAUGCUG